rnacentral:rRNA from 1 species
UACGUAGGUGGCAAGCGUUGUCCGGAUUUAUUGGGUUUAAAGGGUGCGUAGGCGGUUGUAUAAGUCAGUGCUGAAAUAUCCCGGCUUAACCGGGAGGGUGGCAUUGAUACUGUAUGACUUGAGUAAAGUUGAGGUUGGCGGAAUUGACGGUGUAGCGGUGAAAUGCUUAGAUAUCGUCAAGAACACCUAUUGCGAAGGCAGCUAACUAAGCUUUAACUGACGCUGAGGCACGAAAGUGUGGGGAUCAAACAGG